rnacentral:rRNA from 1 species
UACGAAGGGGGGCUAGCGUUGUUCGGAUUUACUGGGCGUAAAGCGCACGUAGGCGGAUCGUUAAGUCGGGGGGUGAAAUCCUGGAGCUCAACUUCAGAAUUGCCUUCGAUACUGGCUUUCUAGAGGCUGGAAGAGGUUAGUGGAAUUCCCAGUGUAGAGGUGAAAUUCGUAGAUAUUGGGAAGAACACCAGUGGCGAAGGCGGCUAACUGGUCCAGAUCUGACGCUGAGGUGCGAAAGCGUGGGGAGCAAACAGG